rnacentral:rRNA from 1 species
GUCCGGAGCGGCCGUCGAGCCGGUCUGCGACCCGGUAGUUUCCGCGGACGCACGACCGCGCGAGAGAGCGGUCGCGUCGGACGCAUUUGUCUCCCGCCCUAAGGACGCCGCAGCCGGUCGGGCAGCGCAAGCGCGACGGCCUGAGGGGCGGACGACGGCAGGUGACCGGAAGACCGCCUCGCGCGGUCGCCGGUUGUUAGCCGGUCCGCCAGUGGCCCGUCGCUCGACCGAGGUGUCACUAAGCCCUUCGGGGCCGAUAUCGCCUCCUCCCGAUGUGGAAGUCGGGACGGACCGUCGCAGGCGAAGGCCGCCGUCCCGUCGCACCCCUCGCGGUUGUGGACGGGCGAACGGUCGUCGCCGGUGGCGACGGCGGACCCGUCGGAGGCCGGAGGCUGGCGGCGAGUAGGUCGGUCGCCCAACCGACCCGUCUUGAAACACGGACCAAGGAGUCUAACAUGUGCGCGAGUCAGUGGGUCUUGGACAGGCCCACGGGCGCAACGAAAGCGAAGGUCGGCUCCGUCGGCCGAGUUGGGAUCCCGCGUCCCGAGAGAGGCGCGGGCGCACCAACGACCCGUCCCCAGCGGCUCGCCGCCGGGGCGGAGUUGGAGCGCACACGUUGGGACCCGAAAGAUGGUGAACUAUGCCCGGACAGGACGAGGCCAGAGGAAACUCUGGUGGAGGUCCGCAGC